CAGUCGCCACGGUAAUACGUAGGGUGCGAGCGUUAAUCGGAUUUACUGGGCGUAAAGCGUGCGCAGGCGGCCCGUUAAGGCAGGUGUGAAAUCCCUGGGCUCAACCUAGGAAUUGCGCUUGUGACUGGCGGGCUCGAGUACGGUAGAGGGGGGUGGAAUUCCUGGUGUAGCAGUGAAAUGCGUAGAGAUCAGGAGGAACACCGAUGCGAAGGCAGCCCCCUGGGCCUGUACUGACGCUCAUGCACGAAAGCGUGGGGAGCAAACAGGAUUAGAUACCCGCGUAGUCCCUGUCUCUUAUACA
rnacentral:rRNA from 1 species